rnacentral:rRNA from 1 species
GUGUCAGCAGCCGCGGUAAUACGAAGGGGGCUAGCGUUGUUCGGAAUCACUGGGCGUAAAGCGCACGUAGGCGGAUUCGUAAGUCAGGGGUGAAAUCCCGGGGCUCAACCUCGGAACUGCCUCUGAUACUGCGGGUCUCGAGUCCGGAAGAGGUGAGUGGAAUUCCUAGUGUAGAGGUGAAAUUCGUAGAUAUUAGGAAGAACACCAGUGGCGAAGGCGGCUCACUGGUCCGGUACUGACGCUGAGGUGCGAAAGCGUGGGGAGCAAACAGGAUUAGAAACCCCCGUAGUCC